rnacentral:rRNA from 1 species
AUGUCUGCCUCGUCCUCGACCUCACAGUCCCUCGCACCCAUCCUCCAAGAGCAGCCUCCUCUUCCUCUCAUCCGUUGCCCCUGGUGCCACAACGGCGACAUCGAGUGGUGGGUUUCCCGGACUCCCAAGAACCCCGGGAAACACUUCUACAAGUGCGAGCGUCACUGGCAGAAGUACGCAACGCUAGCCGCUGGGGCAGUGAUUGCUUGUGGCGGCGAGAAGCGAGCAGCAACUGCAGUACGCGGAGCUGGGGCAAGGGCAGCCCGUGUCGGCGAGCAGCGGCAGCCCGUGGCGUCAGCGAGCAGCAAGAAAUAG